rnacentral:rRNA from 1 species
GAUGAACGCUGGCGGCGUGCCUAAUACAUGCAAGUCGAGCGAACGGACGAGAAGCUUGCUUCUCUGAUGUUAGCGGCGGACGGGUGAGUAACACGUGGAUAACCUACCUAUAAGACUGGGAUAACUUCGGGAAACCGGAGCUAAUACCGGAUAAUAUUUUGAACCGCAUGGUUCAAAAGUGAAAGACGGUCUUGCUGUCACUUAUAGAUGGAUCCGCGCUGCAUUAGCUAGUUGGUAAGGUAACGGCUUACCAAGGCAACGAUGCAUAGCCGACCUGAGAGGGUGAUCGGCCACACUGGAACUGAGACACGGUCCAGACUCCUACGGGAGGCAGCAGUAGGGAAUCUUCCGCAAUGGGCGAAAGCCUGACGGAGCAACGCCGCGUGAGUGAUGAAGGUCUUCGGAUCGUAAAACUCUGUUAUUAGGGAAGAACAUAUGUGUAAGUAACUGUGCACAUCUUGACGGUACCUAAUCAGAAAGCCACGGCUAACUACGUGCCAGCAGCCGCGGUAAUACGUAGGUGGCAAGCGUUAUCCGAAAUUAUUGGGCGUAAAGCGCGCGUAGGCGGUUUUUUAAGUCUGAUGUGAAAGCCCACGGCUCAACCGUGGAGGGUCAUUGGAAACUGGAAAACUUGAGUGCAGAAGAGGAAAGUGGAAUUCCAUGUGUAGCGGUGAAAUGCGCAGAGAUAUGGAGGAACACCAGUGGCGAAGGCGACUUUCUGGUCUGUAACUGACGCUGAUGUGCGAAAGCGUGGGGAUCAAACAGGAUUAGAUACCCUGGUAGUCCACGCCGUAAACGAUGAGUGCUAAGUGUUAGGGGGUUUCCGCCCCUUAGUGCUGCAGCUAACGCAUUAAGCACUCCGCCUGGGGAGUACGACCGCAAGGUUGAAACUCAAAGGAAUUGACGGGGACCCGCACAAGCGGUGGAGCAUGUGGUUUAAUUCGAAGCAACGCGAAGAACCUUACCAAAUCUUGACAUCCUUUGACAACUCUAGAGAUAGAGCCUUCCCCUUCGGGGGACAAAGUGACAGGUGGUGCAUGGUUGUCGUCAGCUCGUGUCGUGAGAUGUUGGGUUAAGUCCCGCAACGAGCGCAACCCUUAAGCUUAGUUGCCAUCAUUAAGUUGGGCACUCUAAGUUGACUGCCGGUGACAAACCGGAGGAAGGUGGGGAUGACGUCAAAUCAUCAUGCCCCUUAUGAUUUGGGCUACACACGUGCUACAAUGGACAAUACAAAGGGCAGCGAAACCGCGAGGUCAAGCAAAUCCCAUAAAGUUGUUCUCAGUUCGGAUUGUAGUCUGCAACUCGACUACAUGAAGCUGGAAUCGCUAGUAAUCGUAGAUCAGCAUGCUACGGUGAAUACGUUCCCGGGUCU